AAGAAGCAGAGAGGGCUGUGGGCACACAUGCUUCUCCUGCAGCACGAGGGAGGGGCCUGCACCUGCUUUCUCAGAGAUGAGGUCCCAGCUGAGCCCUGAGGAAUGCGUAGGAGUCUGUUAGACAAAGAAGACGGCAGGAACAGCAUGCCAGGCGGCGGGAUCUGCUGGUGCGGAAACCUGGAGCAGAGAGAGCAUAGCACUUUUGGAGCGCUGCAAAAAGAGCAGUUAAAAACGAGUGUCAUGUUUACCAUGAAGCUAGUGUGAAUCUAGCUGAAUCCCACGACAGUCAAGGACGAUGGGUAGCACCAGAUGCAGAGAUCUGGAAGCCGGAGAACAGAGGCUGGAACCCCAAGGCACCAUGUCACACCUGCACAGAAACGGAGCUGGAGGGACGGCCCCGGGCAAAACUAUCAACGUGCUUUUGGGUCCCCUCUCUAUGGGUCAUCCAUCCUUCCUUUCCACCUUGGCUGUUCACGUGCUCUCAUGUGUCCAUCUCGUUCCCUUUCUUGGUCUCAGCAGGAUAAGAACCAUCUCUGCUGAGCAGGCUGCGCAGCCUGUGGGAUCCUAGUUCCCCGACCAGGGAUUGAACCUGUGCCCUCUGCAAUGAAAGCACGGAGUCCUAACCACUGGGCUGCCAGGGAAUUCCUGAUAUGUUCUUAAAUGUAGCUAUUUUUAAACAAAAAUAGAGCUACCACAUGACCCUGCAAUCCCCCUCCAGAGAUCCGGAGAACAACAUGGUCUGAAAGGAUACAUGCACCCCAGUGCAUGUAUUACAGCACUGUUUACAAUAGCCAAGAUGUGGAAGCAACCUAAAUGUCCAUCGACAGAGGAGUGGAUAAAGAAGAUGUGGUACAUAGGUUCUGAAGAAACUAGGGGCAGUACAGGAAAGACGCAGACGUAGAGAAUGGACUUGAGGACACAGGGAGGGGGAAGGGUAAGCUGGGACGAAGUGAGAGAGUGGCAUGGACAUAUAUACACUACCAAAUGUAAAAUAGAUAGCUAGUAGGAAGCAGCCGCAUAGCACAGGGAG